UACGAGAGGCGCAAACGUUAUUCGGAAUUACUGGGCUUAAAGAGUUCGUAGGCGGCGCAGAAAGUCGGGUGUGAAAGCCCUCGGCUCAACCGAGGAAUUGCGCUCUAAACUACUGUGCUUGAGGGACCUAGAGGUGAGCGGAACUGAUGGUGGAGCGGUGAAAUGCGUAGAUAUCAUUUGGAACGCCAAUGGUGAAAACAGGUAACUGGGAGUGUGCUGACGCUGAGACACGAAAGCCAGGGGAGCGAACGGG
rnacentral:rRNA from 1 species